rnacentral:rRNA from 1 species
GACGAACGCUGGCGGCGUGCUUAACACAUGCAAGUCGAACGGAAAGGCCCUGCUUUUGUGGGGUGCUCGAGUGGCGAACGGGUGAGUAACACGUGAGUAACCUGCCCUUGACUUUGGGAUAACUUCAGGAAACUGGGGCUAAUACCGGAUAGGAGCUCCUGCUGCAUGGUGGGGUUGGAAAGUUUCGGCGGUUGGGGAUGGACUCGCGGCUUAUCAGCUUGUUGGUGGGGUAGUGGCUUACCAAGGCUUUGACGGGUAGCCGGCCUGAGAGGGUGACCGGCCACAUUGGGACUGAGAUACGGCCCAGACUCCUACGGGAGGCAGCAGUGGGGAAUAUUGCACAAUGGGCGGAAGCCUGAUGCAGCAACGCCGCGUGCGGGAUGACGGCCUUCGGGUUGUAAACCGCUUUCGCCUGUGACGAAGCGUGAGUGACGGUAAUGGGUAAAGAAGCACCGGCUAACUACGUGC